CAACCACAUGGUGGCUCACAACCAUCUGUAAUGCCCUCUUCUGGAGUAUCUGAAGACAGCUACAGUGUACUUACAUAUAAUAAAUAAAUAAAUAUUUUUUAAAAACUGCGAGAAGGUUCAGUGCAAAGGGAAGGUUCAGUGCAAAGGUGGUGCUUGUAGCUAAGCUUGACCUCCUGAGCUUGGUCCCUGGACCCCAUGUGGUAACUAAAUGAUGUGGUAGAAGGAGCGAACCAGUUCCUGUUAAGUUGUCCUCUGACUUACACACACAUACACCAUGCCACACAAGUGUACACACACACACAUAUACACACCAUGCCACACAAGUGUACACACACACACAUACACACCAUGCCACACAAGUGUGCACACACACACAUACACACCAUGCCACACAAGUGUACACACAUAUACAUACCAU
rnacentral:lncRNA from 1 species